GGCACGUUGGCACAGUGGAGGCGCAUCUCCCCUAUCUUCUUCCUCUAUUUCCCGUCAUGAUUGACUCAUGACCAGCCCGCCCCUGGUGGUCCCGAGCAAUUUUGGGGGUUAUAGUUGCGGAAGCCAUGGCUGGAGAAGGUCUAAGGUUCGAAUCCUUAAUGGGCCA